rnacentral:rRNA from 1 species
NNNNNAUUGAAUGUUUCGCGUGAAGAUUCCGGACCGUGGCUCGAUGCGCUUCACGGCGCUCUUGCCGUGGGAAGUUAUCUAAACCUCAACAUUUAGAGGAAGGUGAAGUCGUAACAAGGUUUCCGUAGGUGAACCUGCGGAAGGAUCAUUA